UGGGGAAUCUUGGACAAUGGGCGCAAGCCUGAUCCAGCCAUGCCGCGUGUGUGAUGAAGGCCUUAGGGUCGUAAAGCACUUUCGCCAGAGAUGAUAAUGACAGUAUCUGGUAAAGAAACCCCGGCUAACUCCGUGCCAGCAGCCGCGGUAAUACGGAGGGGGUUAGCGUUGUUCGGAAUUACUGGGCGUAAAGCGCACGUAGGCGGAUUAGUCAGUCAGAGGUGAAAUCCCAGGGCUCAACCCUGGAACUGCCUUUGAUACUGCUAGUCUUGAGUUCGAGAGAGGUGAGUGGAAUUCCGAGUGUAGAGGUGAAAUUCGUAGAUAUUCGGAGGAACACCAGUGGCGAAGGCGGCUCACUGGCUCGAUACUGACGCUGAGGUGCGAAAGUGUGGGGAGCAAACAGGAUUAGAUACCCUGGUAGUCCACACCGUAAACGAUGAAUGCCAGUCGUCGGGUAGUAUACUAUUCGGUGACACACCUAACGGAUUAAGCAUUCCGCCUGGGGAGUACGGUCGCAAGAUUA
rnacentral:rRNA from 1 species